rnacentral:rRNA from 1 species
UGCGAUUGCUGGCUAGCUGCCUGGGUAUUGUGUUGGGUGUCGGUGUGGUCAGGAAGUGCUGGUCGGAAAGUGGGUUGGUGUUGUUGUUCGGGUGUUGCGUGAAAGCUUGCAGCUUAACGGGGGGCGGGCUGGGUCUACGGGCAGACUAUAUUACUUCAGGGUGGGCGGGAAUUCCUGGUGUAUCGGUGGAAGGCGCAGAUAUCAGGAGGAACACCGGUGGCGAAGGCGGGUCUCUGGGCAUUAACUGACGCUGAGGAGCGAAAGCGUGGGGAGCGAACAGGAUUAGAUACCCUAGUAGUC